rnacentral:rRNA from 1 species
AUGGCUCCGACCGAGGGAUCCUCCAUGGCCGAUCUUCCCGCAGUCGAUGACGACCAAGAGGAGUCCCGCCCCAUGUCCUGGUUCCCUCCGCACGCCCCCCACGACUGCGGCGAUCCUCCCCCAAAGUCGGUCGUCCUCGACACCCUCGUCUACGCCGACGACCGCACCAACGCCUCCACCGCCGAGGGCUUCACCAGCAACGGCCACGCCAUCUGCCUCACCUUCUGGUCCGCGCAUCCACCGCUCAUCUCCUACUUCACCGUCCACCUCCCCACCCUCCUGCAGGACGGACCCGCCACCUCGCUCGACCUUCUGCCACGCCUUGUCCGCACCGACGGCGACCUCGCCCUCUUCCGCGUCAUGGUCGGCCCUUCGCCCAGCAAUCGGCACCACAUCAACUACAUCGUCUACCGUGUACGUGACGGCUUCAGCAAGCUUGAGGUGCCGACUGGUCACUUGCCCUCCUGCGCUGCCGCUGCCCCGACGACGGCAGGUUCUUGGUCGCCAAUCUGCGGUCGACUUACACCCGACUGCUACUUCCAUACUCCAACCAAGGUGAUCGCCCUCGGUGGCGACCGCGGUACAAUCGGCUGGGUCGACCUCUGGCAUGGCAUCCUCAUCGGUGAUCUGCUCACCAGCGGCGGCGACGAUGACGACGUCCUCCGCUUCAUCCCUUUGCCCUUGCUUUGGGCGCCCAACAAGAUGAUCCCAGGCCCGUUGUGCUGUGACCGGGACGUCUCGGUCGGCAGCGACGGCUACAUCAAAUACUCGGAGGUGUGGGCUCAUUCCGUGCCCGUCUCACGGAAUCGUGCCACCUGUGUCUCCCAGGAGGACUGGGGUGCCGCCAUACUGACAUGGCUGGAGCCCAAGAAGAAGUGGCACGUCGACCUCAAGCUCAAAGCCUCGGACAUCAUCGUGGACGAGACUCACUCCCUUUUGCUUCCUCGGCAUGAUGUCACGGCCACAGGGAAGAGUCCGGCCUUGAGUAGCCACACAUCUCUUCUCAUCUCUCUUUUCCACAAACCCACACACGGCCGCACACAACUCUCUCUUAUCUCUCCCCGCACCAACCACAGCCACACACACACACCCUGCCCAUCUUGCCAUGCCCGUGCACUCUCUCUUCCUUGCAGCCAUAGCUCUCCCGCCGGCGCACCGAGAUGCGACACCUCCGGCCCGUCGCGCCGCUCCGGGCACUCGUCGGCGUGGUCAAGUCCUGCUGUCUCCCUCCUCUCAUGGUGGCUGUCGUGUGCUUGGAUUCGCGGCCAAGCAAACAAGCAGCGCUGGCCGGCAACCAACCAAGCAAGCAGUAGCAGCAGCGCCAGCUUGCGAGGAAGCAAGCAGCAGCAGCAGCGUCGGCUAUCAAGGAAGCAAGCAGCAGCGCAAGCGGCAAGCAGGAAGAGCAGCAGCACCGCCGGCAGCACGCGUUGGCAGCGGUGGCGCGCGGUAGAGAGAUUGGCUGACGGCAGCACGUGCAUGCGCUGUGGUGGCGCUGGCAGCAGCGGCGUCUGUGGCGUUUUUUUUAAUUUCUGCCAACAAGUUUUACCGAGUGCGUCGCUCGGCAAAAACACCUGUGACACAUUUGUUUUUUUUUUCACCAUGAAACUUACAAUCUAUUCACCUUCAAUCCGCCUCACCUUCCGGGCUGCGCGCCCGCCGCUCCUCUCCUACUUCACCGCCCACAUCCCCGGCCUCCUCCGGGAUGGACCAGCCACCCCACUCGACGGACUUCCCCGCCUCCUCCGCACCCACGCCGACCUCGCCCUCCUCCGUGUCCCCAUCAACUGGAGAGACAACGACUACUUCCUCUACUGCGCGGCCGACCGCUUCAGCAGGCUUCUCCUGCUCCCCGCCCUCCCUGCCCGCCUGCUCUCCGACCGUUCCAUCGGCCAUCUGCUCUGCCCUGGCCAAGAAGAAGAAGAAGGCAGGUACUUUGUCGCUGCUCUCCGCCCGAGGCCCGACCAUGCCCCUGGGUAA